rnacentral:rRNA from 1 species
UCUUCGGAGUGAGCGGCAACGGGUGAGUAACGCGUGGGAAUCUACCCAUCUCUACGGAAUAACUCAGGGAAACUUGUGCUAAUACCGUAUACGCCCUUCGGGGGAAAGAUUUAUCGGAGAUGGAUGAGCCCGCGUUGGAUUAGCUAGUUGGUGGGGUAAAGGCCUACCAAGGCGACGAUCCAUANCUGGUCUGAGAGGAUGAUCANCCACACUGGGACUGAGACACGGCCCANACUCCUACGGGAGGCAGCAGUGGGGAAUAUUGGACAAUGGGCGAAAGCCUGAUCCAGCCAUGCCGCGUGAGUGAUGAAGGCCCUAGGGUUGUAAAGCUCUUUCAACGGUGAAGAUAAUGACGGUAACCGUAGAAUAAGCCCCGGCUAACUUCGUGCCAGCAGCCGCGGUAAUACGAAGGGGGCUAGCGUUGUUCGGAAUUACUGGGCGUAAAGCGCACGUAGGCGGAUCGUUAAGUGAGGGGUGAAAUCCCAGGGCUCAACCCUGGAACUGCCUUUCAUACUGGCGAUCUUGAGUUCAAGAGAGGUGAGUGGAAUUCCGAGUGUAGAGGUGAAAUUCNUAUAUAUUCNGAGGAACACCAGUGNNNNNNNCGGCUCACUGGCUCGAUACUGACGCUGAGGUGCGAAAGCGUGGGGGAGCAAACAGGAUUANAUACCCUGGUAGUCCACNCCGUAAACNAUNAAUGU